rnacentral:SRP_RNA from 1 species
CCCUGUUUACAGGGAGCUUGCAUAGCAGCCCUUCUUUGGCGGUGUUGAAGUUUGGGUCUUGCGCAAUAGGAAUCUACGAAUCUGGUCAGGGCAGGAAUGCAGCAGCCAUAAGAAGAAUCUCCUAUGUGCCGCAAGGGUGCCUGGCGGAGCCGUCGGGAAGGUAACGUGUGCAAGUUCCCUGCAAACAGGG